UACGUAGGGGGGCAAGCGUUGUCCGGAUUCAUUGGGCGUAAAGAGCGUGUGAGCGGCCAGGUAGGUCGGUUGUGAAAACUGGAGGCUCAACCUUCAGAGGUCGACCGAAACCAUCUGGCUAGAGUCCGGGAGAGGAGAGUGGAAUUCCUGGUGUAGCGGUGAAAUGCGCAGAUAUCAGGAGGAACACCGGUGGCGAAGGCGGGUCUCUGGGCCGUAACUGACGCUGAGGAGCGAAAGCAUGGGGAGCGAACAGG
rnacentral:rRNA from 1 species